rnacentral:rRNA from 1 species
AUUGAACGCUGGCGGCAGGCCUAACACAUGCAAGUCGAGCGGAUGAAGGGAGCUUGCUCCUGGAUUCAGCGGCGGACGGGUGAGUAAUGCGUAGGAAUCUGCCUGGUAGUGGGGGAUAACGUCCGGAAACGGGCGCUAAUACCGCAUACGUCCUGAGGGAGAAAGUGGGGGAUCUUCGGACCUCACGCUAUCAGAUGAGCCUAGGUCGGAUUAGCUAGUUGGUGGGGUAAAGGCCUACCAAGGCGACGAUCCGUAACUGGUCUGAGAGGAUGAUCAGUCACACUGGAGCUGAGACACGGUCCAGACUCCUACGGGAGGCAGCAGUGGGGAAUAUUGGACAAUGGGCGAAAGCCUGAUCCAGCCAUGCCGCGUGUGGGAAGAAGGUCUUCGGAUUGUAAAGCACUUUAAGUGGGGAGGAAGGGCAGUAAGUUAAUACCUUGCUGUUUUGACGGUACCAACAGAAUAAGCACCGGCUAACUUCGUG